rnacentral:rRNA from 1 species
AAGCAUAUCAAUAAGCGGAGGAAAAGAAACCAACAGGGAUUGCCCUAGUAACGGCGAGUGAAGCGGCAACAGCUCAAAUUUGAAAUCUGGCUUCGGCCCGAGUUGUAAUUUGUAGAGGAAGCUUUUGGCAAGGCACCGACUGAGUCCCCUGGAACGGGGCGCCAUAGAGGGUGAGAGCCCCGUAUAGUCGGACGCUGAGCCUCUGUAAAGCUCCUUCGACGAGUCGAGUAGUUUGGGAAUGCUGCUCAAAAUGGGAGGUAAAUUUCUUCUAAAGCUAAAUAUUGGCCAGAGACCGAUAGCGCACAAGUAGAGUGAUCGAAAGAUGAAAAGCACUUUGAAAAGAGGGUUAAAUAGCACGUGAAAUUGUUGAAAGGGAAGCGCUUGUGACCAGACUUGCGCCUGGCCGAUCAUCCGGGGUUCUCCCCGGUGCACUCGGCCAGGCUCAGGCCAGCAUCGGUUCUCUCGGGGGGACAAAGGCCCCGGGAAUGUAGCUCCCUCCGGGGAGUGUUAUAGCCCGGGGCGUAAUGCCCUCGAGGGGACCGAGGACCGCGCUUCGGCAAGGAUGCUGGCGUUACGGUCACCAGCGACCCGUCUUGAAACACGGACCAAGGAGUCAAGGUUUUGCGCGAGUGUUUGGGUGUAAAACCCGCACGCGUAAUGAAAGUAAACGUAGGUGAGAGCUUCGGCGCAUCAUCGACCGGCCCAGAUGUUCUCGGAAGGGCCUGAGUAGGAGCGUUAAGCCUUGGACCCGAAAGAUGGUGAACUAUGCUUGGAUAGGGUGAAGCCAGAGGAAACUCUGGUGGAGGCUCGCAGCGGUUCUGACGUGCAAAUCGAUCGUCAAAUCUGAGCAUGGGGGCGAAAGACUAAUCGAACCAUCUAGUAGCUGGUUACCGCCGAAGUU